rnacentral:rRNA from 1 species
UUUUUUCUCAGGGAAGAAGAAAGUGACGGUACCUGAGGAAUCAGCAUCGGCUAACUCCGUGCCAGCAGCCGCGGUAAUACGGAGGAUGCAAGCGUUAUCCGGAAUGAUUGGGCGUAAAGCGUCCGCAGGUGGCAGUGUGUGUCUGCUGUUAAAGAGUGAGGCUCAACCUCGCAAAAGCAGUGGAAACUACACAGCUAGAGUACGUUCGGGGCAGAGGGAAUUCCUGGUGUAGCGGUGAAAUGCGUAGAGAUCAGGAAGAACACCGGUGGCGAAAGCGCUCUGCUAGGCCUUACUACACUAUUAUCGAAGUAAUGUAAAAU